UAAGAGUAACAAAGUUCAAUACAGAGGCAAUGAUGAACAACCAUUAAAAUGAUAGAUCGCGCAUUCUACCGUCAAUGCAACCAUUUGAUUUACUCUUCCAAAUGGCUUCAGUUUCUUCAAUAACUACUAUAAAUAACGUGAUAAUCUUAUUUAUCUUAGCUGGUUUUACUUUCAGUAAAAAUGAGAUUUCAGAAAUUCUGCGCAGAAGAUCAAGAAUGUCAAUCAUAAACGGUCGGCCAGUUCUGCGUAAUUUCUUUGUUAAGGUAUCUCCAAAACAUAAUACUACUGCUUUCUGCGGUGGUGCAGCCUUACAUCCAUAUUUGGUUAUUACGGCAGCCACAUGUGUAACGACCAGCCACGGUGUUCAAAUGAACGCGUCCGGUAUCCAAGUUGACUUCGAGAGCUCAUUUUAUUUGAGACGAGGACGGAACACACGCAUCGCGGUUAAACUUUACGUCUACGAAAAGUUCCAGAUCGUGGCCGAAAAACCGAGAAACAAUCUAGCAAUACUGAAGCUGAGAAACCCGAUGCCAAAUGGUGUGCAUACCAUUCAGUUAUGCCUCAAGGUGCCCGAGCUUGGCACUCCUCUGGCGUCGUUAGGGUUUGGUUCAACUUCAACAAUCUCUUAUGAGCCUUCGCUUGAGUACUUGAAAGAAGCAUAUUUCUAUGAAAGUGUAUUUACUACAGAUGCUCACUCUACUUCUUUCUUUGAAACUUGUCCUGAAAGCGAUAUCUGCACUGAUACAUUGACAGCAGGCACCAGUAUAUGUUCUGGGGAUAUUGGAGGACCAUUGUAUGAGUUCAAUUGUGGAACCAUAGAUCCUGUAUGUCUCUAUGGAGUAGCCAGUUAUUUCACACAGAAUCCAGAUAAUCAUCGCAUUUGUAAUGAUGCCAGUGUUUUUACAAAAUUGACUCACUUCCACGAUUGGAUAAAGCGAAUUUGUGUCCAGUUCAACUGGAGUCUUACUGAGAAAAA